rnacentral:rRNA from 1 species
GACGAACGCUGGCGGCGUGCUUAACACAUGCAAGUCGAACGAUGAAGCUAGAGCUUGCUCUGGUGGAUUAGUGGCGAACGGGUGAGUAACACGUGAGUAACCUGCCCCGAACUCUGGGAUAACUGCUGGAAACGGUAGCUAAUACCGGAUAUGACCAAUGAAGGCAUCUUCUGUUGGUGGAAAGAAUUUCGGUUCGGGAUGGACUCGCGGCCUAUCAGCUUGUUGGUGAGGUAACGGCUCACCAAGGCGACGACGGGUAGCCGGCCUGUGAGGGUGUUCAGCCACACUGGGACUGAGACACGGCCCAGACUCCUACGGGAUGCAGCAGUGGGGAAUGUUGAACAAUGGGCGCAAGCCUGAUGCAGCAACGCCGCGUGAGGGAUGACGGCCUUCGGGUUGUAAACCUCUUUUAGUAGGGAAGAAGCGAAAGUGACGGUACCUGCAGAAAAAGCACCGGCUAACUACGUGCCAGCCGCCGCAGUAA